UAUGAUGACCAUUACAGUGUGGUUUGGGUGU
rnacentral:piRNA from 1 species